GCAGUCGAACGAAGUAGCAAUACUUAGUGGCAGACGGGUGAGUAACAUGUAGGUAUCUGCCCUUUGGCCUGGAAUAACACGAGGAAACUUGUGCUAAUACCGGAUAAGUCUUUACGGAGAAAGCUUUAUGCACCAUUGGAUGAGCCUGCACUUGAUUAGUUUGUUGGUGGGGUAAUGGCCUACCAAGACUGUGAUCAAUAGCUGAUUUGAGAGGAUGAUCAGCCACAUUGGGACUGAGACACGGCCCAAACUCCUACGGGAGGCAGCAGUGGGGAAUCUUGCACAAUGGAGGAAACUCUGAUGCAGCGAUGCCGCGUGAGUGAAGAAGGCCCUUGGGUUGUAAAGCUCUUUCGUCGGGGAAGAAAAUGACUGUACCCGAAUAAGAAGGUCCGGCUAACUUCGUGCCAGCAGCCGCGGUAAUACGAAGGGACCUAGCGUAGUUCGGAAUUACUGGGCUUAAAGAGUUCGUAGGUUGUUGAAAUAGUUGGUGGCGAAAUCCCAGAGCUUAACUCUGGAACUGCCAUCAAAACUUUUCAGCUAGAGUAUGAUAGAGGAAAGCAGAAUUUCUAGUGUAGAGGUGAAAUUCGUAGAUAUUAGAAAGAAUACCAAAUGCGAAGGCAGCUUUCUGGAUCAUUACUGACACUGAGGAACGAAAGCAUGGGUAGCGAAGAGGAUUAGAUACCCUCGUAGUCCAUGCCGUAAACGAUGUGUGUUAGACGUUGGAAAUUUAUUUUCAGUGUCGCAGGGAAACCGAUAAACACACCGCCUGGGGAGUACGACCGCAAGGUUAAAACUCAAAUGAAUUGACGGGGACCCGCACAAGUAGUGGAGCAUGUGGUUUAAUUCGAAGAUACGCGCAGAACCUUACCCACACUUGACAUGUUCGUCGCGACUCUAAGAGAUUAGAGUUUUCGGUUCGGCCGGA
rnacentral:rRNA from 1 species